UGCCCCCCGCCCGCCCCGGCGGACCUGGCGCCUGGGCGGACCCGCGACCUUCCCCCGGGGCGGGCGGUGCUUUCCGCCGCGAAGCGAUCGGAAGACUCGGGCAGGUGGGAGCGCCAGGUCGGGCACCAGGUCGGGGCGGCUGGCGGAUGCAGAGCGGCGUCCCAGGAGGCGGGUCCGGGGUGGACGCAGCGCAGGGACGCGGCCCGGGCCUGCUGACCUCAGAGUCCCGCGGGGGAUACGCUCCAGCCCGGCCCCCCAGGCUCUCCUCCUCCGUGGGUGCAAGUCUGGCCCCGGGGCCGGGCUCACGGAGUUUUUCUGGAGUGAGCGUCUGCGAGGACCCGUCCUCCGACUGUUAGUGAUUAGGACGGAGGGGCGCUUGCUAGGGUCGUUUUUGUUUUGUUUCGUUCACUUUGGCAAGAAGACGAUUAUGCUGUUUUAUAUUUGAGAAGUGGACAGCCAACGCCACUUAAAACUUUGGAGUGAAAAUUUGACUUUGGCAGUUGCAAUGACGACUAACGAAAUCUUUCCGUAUUCCUUCUUUCAUGGAGUGAACCUCGAAAUGCUUCUAAACCACUCGGCCUGUGGGACUCGGUACUUAUUUGAGACAAUGGUGAUGCUCUAGUGUGAACACCAGGGGGCGCUGUUUGCCGAGGCCGCGCCGAGUCCUCGGGGUCCCUGCAGAAGUUGGGGGCGGCGCUCUGAGACUCAGACGGGCGCGGGGUGGGCUGAGGGCGUCUCAGCCGGGGAGGACCGGCCUUGCGCAACUUCUGCCUUGCUCCGUGUUUCCUGCCCCGCAAAUCGGAGCUCUGCCCACCGUUACUGCACACCCCCUCCCAAGCUUUUUACAAUACCUCUCCCACCCCCUUCCCUUCCAAGUCCUUACCCUGCUUUAUUUUCUCACCACUCUGUAAUCGAGUUACGCUGCUCAUUCUCCGUUCAGUCUCCCUCUCUGGAAAGUAAGCUGCAUGAGGAAGGGACUGUUUCUGUUUUGCUCCUCACUCGGCCUGGUGAAGAGUCUCCAGCACAUAAUAGUUGCUCAAGAAAGCUUUGAGUCAGGACACAGUGGAUGAAUUCACCAUCCUGGUGAGGCCAGAAGGGAUUUCGGGCAAACGUCACCACCAGCCCUGCUCCACACCUCACUCCUCUGAACCCACAUCUACCUAAGAACAAAAGUGAUUCCUACAGAAGCUGUUGUCCUCGAAAUGGUCCACCAGCGGCUGAAGAUGCCCCCCUCAGGGUGGAUAGAGCAGGUGGAGCUGUUAUGUCCUAACACUUCUGGCCAUUUCAAUAUCCAUCUGAUCCCCUAGAUUUCCUGCUAAAGGCCUGGUGUCAGCUGAGUGAAAGGAAAGAGCAUGAGAAGAACUAGAUUUGAAAUCCAGAUUGGCCACUUGUUAAGAGUCAAGUUGAUGAUCUGAGGGCCAGAUCCCCAGCUGUGCUCCCAGGGCUGCACCUGCUGAAAGGCUCACACCCCAACAUUCCAGGCUUCGGAAUCAGUGCCUCUGGACCCUUGGCAGGGCUGCUGGGGUUUGCCCGGUCUGCUGUAACAAGUACCACAGGCUGGGCGGCUUAAAUGGCAGACGUUCAUCUCGCGAUUCUGGAGGCUGGACGUGCGAGAUCAAGGUCAGCCCGGCUCUGUGGGGCAUCCUGGUGCUGCUGGCAGAAGCCCUGUGCCCGCUGCUCUGUCACUGCCACAGCGUUCCUUGUGGGCCAAAGUCUGGACACAGGGCUGUGCGUCUUCCUGCCUCAUUUCUGUAACAGAUCGGCUUGGUCUAUGCUUGCCUCCUGACUGAUCUUCAAGCCGGGACCUGGUCGUGGAGGACGUGUGCCCCCAGAAGGACUUUGAAGGGGCUUCAGGACGAAGAGAGAAGGGUUGGAGGGCAGCACUGCUGCCGGGCUCCGUCUUCCUCUGUGGGUGCAGGUGUGGGUGCGGCUGCAGGUGUAGGUGCAGGUGUGGGUGCAGGUGUGGUGCAGGUGGUGCAGGUGUGGUGCAGUGUGGGUGCAGGUGUGGUGCAGGUAUGGUGCAGGUGUGGGUGCAGAUGUGGGUGCAGGUGUGGGUGCAGGUGUGUGGUGCAGGUGUGGUGCAGGUGUGGGUGCAGGUGUAGGUGUGGCUGUAGGUGUGGGUGCAGGUGUGGGUGUGGCUGCAGGUGUGGGUGUGGGUGUGGCUGUAGGUGUGGGUGCAGAUGUGGGUGCAGGUGUGGGUGCAGGUGUGGUGCAGGUGUGGGUGCAGGUGUGGUGUAGGUGUGGGUGCAGGUGUGGCUGCAGGUGCAGGUGCAGGUGUGAGUGCGGGUGUGAGCUGAGCAACCCCUCUGGUUUCCACCACACCUCCAUCUCUGCUCACAGGUGGAGAAGCCCCUUUUCUCUCCGAAUGGAUGGUUUCACCUGGGCGCUCCUGGACAUAGGAUGCCUCCUCUGCUUUCCUGUAAGCCUAGGGUCCUUAGUGUCUGGCUGUUCCCUGUGGUCCUAGUCGGGUCUUAGAACCUGGUUACAGGGAGGGUAUCCCUUGGUCCAGGCCUCAGCUCUCAAAGCACCAGGCAUCUAGACACAGGAACUCUCUCUGACCCCACCGCACACCCACUGACUCAGAAACUCUGGGUGGGCCCAGGUCUGGGGUUUUCUCAAGCCCCCCAGCUGAGUCUGAGCAGCUCAAGCCUGACACCCCUGCUAACACCUGGGCUGAUCUCACCAGCGGCCCCGGCCUCGGGGCAGCAGACGGGCCACUCCUCCUCUGUUCACAGGCAGGGCAGCAGUUUGCUCAGCAGGUCAACAUCCCCUCUGACAUUGCCCCAGGCCUGGCGAUCAUCUACUUCAGACAUUCCUUCAGUCCUUCCCUGUAAUCUAAUAUUUGGGUUUAGCAGCUCAACUUCCUCUUGCGAAACAAUGUGAACUUCCCCAACCAGACAGAACAGGAACUGAAAUUAGUUGCUUUGGAUUCUUCAGUAACUGAUCAGCCUUUUGAACUUUUUUAAACUUUGUACGUGAAAGUCUUCCAAAUUGUGCUCCUCCGUCCAUUGUCACCUCUUCAAGCUCACCGUUUGUCGGCAUCUCGGAGGAGAGGCGCAGAGAGGGUUUUUCAUCCUCUGGGAAAGCAUCGCUUUUCCUGGUCUCGUGUGGAUACGCCCACUUAGGUAUAUUUCACUUCCCACCGUGGACGUGACUCAUUUUCUCAUCCCGGCUGGACGCUCAGCUCCAUCUUCGGGGAUGCCGUGCAGGCCGCUUCCCUCCCACUCCGUCCUCUCCACGGUCACAGAGCUCCCUAGCGCUGAGUCGUGCUGCCUCCUUCAAGGAGCCUGCUGCCCCGUGCUCCUCCUCACCAGUGACCCAUCUAACCGCCACUCAGUCUUCCAACGCAUCGUUGGCCUUUGACCCUGUUUCCCGCUUCCUUCUUUGUGAAAAUCCGUCCUGUGGCCUUCCCACCUUCCUGCCUAUACGGCCUCCCCAGGACCUACCCUUGAUCAUGGGGGUUUGCUUUUUUUUAAAAUUUUGAUUGGAGUAUAGUUGCUUUACAAUGUUGUGUUAGUUUCUGCCGUACAACAAAGUGAGUCAGUUAUACAGGUACAUAUAUCCACUCUUUUUUAGGUUUCCUUCCCAUUUAGGUCACCACAGAGCACUGAGUAGAGUUCCCUGUGCUGUACAUUCGGUUCUCAUUAGUUAUAUUUUAUACAUAGUGUCAAUAGUGUAUAUACGUCACUCCCAAUCUCGCAAUCAUCCCACAUCCCCCUUUACCCACUUGGUGUCCAUAAGUGUGUUCUUUACAUCUGUGUCUCUAUUUCUGCUUUGCAAAUAAGUUCAUCUGUACCAUUUUUCUAGAUUCCACAUAUAAGUGAUAUUAUACGAUAUUUGUUUUUCUCUAUCUGACUUACUUCACUCUGUAUGACAGUCUAGGUCUAUCUACAUCUCUGCAAAUGGCACUAUUUCGUUCCUUUUUAUGGCUGAGUAAUAUUCCAUUGUACGGGGGUUUGUUUUUUAAAUAAAUUGGCCAUACGUUUAAGUAUCCUAUAAGUCUUCAUGCCCUGAAACUUCUGUUGCAUAUAAAGUUACCUAGCUUUCCUUGGAAUAGAACUUGGGCCGCACUGGAAUCAAACCUAAAUCCUGCCAAGAGUAGGCAUGUAAGAACAGACCUUCUUAAAGACUCUAGAAUUUCUGAUGGUCUGAAAAAUAAAGAAGAAACAAUGACUGUAUUGGGGCUACAAGAAGAUGGCAACGCCCAUCUCAGGAAUUUAAACCCCUGCUGUAGCUGGAACCCUUAAGCAACCAUUCAGUCUAAUCUCAAGAUUUCA